AACGCGAAGAACCUUACCUAAGCUUGACAUCCUUUUGACCAAUGCCUAAUCGCAUCUUUCCCUUCGGGGACAGAAGUGACAGGUGGUGCAUGGUUGUCGUCAGCUCGUGUCGUGAGAUGUUGGGUUAAGUCCCGCAACGAGCGCAACCCUUGCCUUUAGCUGCCAGCAUUAAGUUGGGCACUCUAGAGGGACUGCCAGGGAUAACCUGGAGGAAGGUGGGGAUGACGUCAAAUCAUCAUGCCCCUUAUGCUUAGGGCUACACACGUGCUACAAUGGGUGGUACAGAGGGCAGCCAAGUCGUGAGGCCGAGCUAAUCCCUUAAAGCCAUUCUCAGUUCGGAUUGUAGGCUGAAACUCGCCUACAUGAAGCUGGAGUUACUAGUAAUCGCGGAUCAGCACGCCGCGGUGAAUACGUUCCCGGGUCUUGUACACACCG
rnacentral:rRNA from 1 species